rnacentral:piRNA from 1 species
UCCGUCUGAUGUUUUUUUAAU